rnacentral:rRNA from 1 species
GUAGGUGGCAAGCGUUAUCCGGAAUUACUGGGGCGUAAAGGGGCACGCAGGCGGCCAUGAAAGUCUGACGUGAAAGCUCCUGGGCUUAACUGGGGAGAGGUCGUUGGAAACUGGAUGGCUUGAGGCAAUGAGAGGGGUGCGGAAUUCCCGGUGUAGUGGUGGAAUGCGUAGAUAUCGGGAGGAACACCAGUGGCGAAGGCGGCACCCUAGCAUUGACCUGACGCUCAUGUGCGAAAGCGUGGGGAGCAAACGGGAUUAGAUACCCCGGUAGUCCACGCUGUAAACGAUGAGCACUAGGUGUGGGUAGUGUUAAAGCUAUCUGUGCCGAAGCAAACGCGAUAAGUGCUCCGCCUGGGGAGUACGGCCGCAAAGGCUAA